rnacentral:rRNA from 1 species
GAUGAACGCUGGCGGCGUGCCUAAUACAUGCAAGUCGAGCGAACGGACGAGAAGAUUGCUUCUCUGAUGUUAGCGGCGGACGGGUGAGUAACACGUGGAUAACCUACCUAUAAGACUGGGAUAACUUCGGGAAACCGGAGCUAAUACCGGAUAAUACUUUGAACCGCAUGGUUCAAAAGUGAAAGACGGCCUUGCUGUCACUUAUAGAUGGAUCCGCGCUGCAUUAGCUAGUUGGUAAGGUAACGGCUUACCAAGGCAACGAUGCAUAGCCGACCUGAGAGGGUGAUCGGCCACACUGGAACUGAGACACGGUCCAGACUCCUACGGGAGGCAGCAGUAGGGAAUCUUCCGCAAUGGGCGAAAGCCUGACGGAGCAACGCCGCGUGAGUGAUGAAGGUCUUCGGAUCGUAAAACUCUGUUAUUAGGGAAGAACAUAUGUGUAAGUAACUGUGCACAUCUUGACGGUACCUAAUCAGAAAGCCACGGCUAACUACGUG